GAUGAACGCUGGCGGCGUGCCUAAUACAUGCAAGUCGAGCGAAGCGGGGACGGGUGAGUAACACGUGGCUAACCUCCUACAAGACUGGGAUAACUUCGGGAAACCGGAGCUAAACCGGAUACUUAUAGUUGGAUCCGCGCUGCAUUAGCUAGUUGGUAAGGUAACGGCUAACAAAGGCAACGAUGCAUAGCCGACCUGUGAGAGUGAUCGGCCACACUGGAGCUAAGCCACGGUCCAAACUCCUACGGAGGGCAGCAGUAGGGAGUCUUCCGCAAUGAGCGAAAGCCUAACGGGGCAACGCCGCGUGAGUGAUGUGGGUCUUCGGAUCGUAAAACUCUGUUAUUAGGAAAGCGGUACCUAAUCAGAAAGCCACGGCUAACUACGUGCCAGCAGCCGCGGUAAUUC
rnacentral:rRNA from 1 species